UGGGGGAUAUUGCACAAUGGGGGGAACCCUGAUGCAGCGACGCCGCGUGGGUGAGGAAGUACCCCGGUAUGUAAAGCCCUUUCGGCAGGGAAGAAAAUGACGGUACCUGGCGAAGAAGCCCCGGCUAACUACGUGCCAGCAGCCGCGGUAAUACGUAGGGGGCAAGCGUUAUCCGGAUUCACUGGGUGUAAAGGGAGCGCAGGCGGUACGGCGAGUCUGAUGUGAAAACCCGGGGCCCAACCCCGGGACCGCACCGGAUACUGCCGGACUCGAGUGCCGGAGGGGCAGGCGGAAUUCCUGGUGUAGCGGUGAAAUGCGCAGAUAUCAGGAGGAACACCGGUGGCGAAGGCGGCCUGCUGGACGGUAACUGACGCUGAGGCUCGAAAGCGUGGGGAGCGAACAGG
rnacentral:rRNA from 1 species